rnacentral:piRNA from 1 species
UAGGGAUGUCAUACUGCAUUUGCAGAACUUGU